ensembl:lncRNA
AACAUUAGCCAAGCCAGGCUUCCAACUGCUGUCUUAUCUCGUCUCUCCCCCAAGUUACAGAGGCUAAGAGCACCGUAGAGAUCAGCAGUCCUGAAUAUUCAUUGGAAGGACUGAUGUUGAAGCUGAAGCUCCAAUACUUUGGCCACCUGAUGUGAAGAACUGACUCCUUGGAAAAGACCCUGAUGCUGGAAAAGACUGAAGGCAGGAGGAGAAGGGGACGACAGAGGAUGAGAUGGUUGGAUGGCAUCACCCACUCGAUGGACAUGAGUUUGAGCAAGCUCCGGGAGUUGGUGAUGGACAGGGAAGCCUGGCGUGCUGCAGUCCACGGGGUCGCAGAGUCAGACACGACUAACCUGGAGGGAAAAGAGAAAACCUUUCCAGCAACCAUCACCAGGGCUGCUCCGGCCGCCACCUGAAAGGAGCAAGGGAUGGAGGGAUGGUGGAGACUUCCGCAGCACGCAGUCCCUGGUGGGGGACAGGAGUCAGGUGGGAUGUGUCCAGCUGCCAGUGCAGGCC